AAUGAACGCUGGCGGCAUGCCUUACACAUGCAAGUCGAACGGCAGCAUGACCUACCUUGCUAGGUGACUGUCGAGUGGCGCACGGGUGUGUCAUGCAUCUGAACGUCCCUUUUGGUGGGGAAUAACGUGGCGAAAGGUACCCUAUUACGGCUUAUUUUCUGAGGAGGAAGGCUCGAUACUUUCAGACCGUUCUCUUGUAAAUCGUCGGAUGUCGGAUUAGCUAGUUGGUGAGGUAAAGGCUCACCAAGGCAACGAUCCGUAGCGGGUCUGAGAGGAUGAUCCGCCACACUGGGACUGAGACACGGCCCAGACUCCUACGGGAGGCAGCAGUGGGGAAUCUUGGACAAAGGGCGCAAGCCUGAUCCAGCCAUGCCGCGUGAGUGAAGAAGGCCUUCGGGUUGUAAAGCUCUUUCGGCUGGGAAGAAAUAGCACCCUCUAAUCCAGGGUGUGGAUGACGGUACCAGAAUAAGAAGCAACGGCUAACUACGUG
rnacentral:rRNA from 1 species